rnacentral:rRNA from 1 species
UACGGGGGGGGCAAGCGUUGUUCGGAAUUACUGGGCGUAAAGGGUUUGUAGGUGGCUUGCUAAGUCAGACGUGAAAUCCCUCGGCUUAACCGGGGAACUGCGUCUGAUACUGGAUGGCUUGAGUUCGGGAGAGGGAUGCGGAAUUCCAGGUGUAGCGGUGAAAUGCGUAGAGAUCCGGAGGAACACCAAUGGCGAAGGCAGUGCCCUGGCCGACGGCUGACGCUCAGGCGCGAAAGCGUGGGGAGCAAACAGG